ACUCCUACGGGAGGCAGCAGUAGGGAAUCUUCGGCAAUGGACGAAAGUCUGACCGAGCAACGCCGCGUGAGUGAAGAAGGUUUUCGGAUCGUAAAACUCUGUUGUUAGAGAAGAACAAGGAUGAGAGUAAAAUGUUCAUCCCUUGACGGUAUCUAACCAGAAAGCCACGGCUAACUACGUGCCAGCAGCCGCGGUAAUAAA
rnacentral:rRNA from 1 species